rnacentral:rRNA from 1 species
GACGAACGCUGGCGGUGUGCUUAACACAUGCAAGUCGAACGGUAAGGCCCUUUCGGGGGUACACGAGUGGCGAACGGGUGAGUAACACGUGAGUAACCUGCCCUCAUCUCUGGGAUAACAGUCGGAAACGGUUGCUAAUACUGGAUAUGAGCUUGCAAGGCAUCUUGUGGGUUGGAAAGAUUUUUUUUGGUUGGGGAUGGACUCGCGGCCUAUCAGCUUGUUGGUGAGGUAGUGGCUCACCAAGGCUUCGACGGGUAGCCGGCCUGAGAGGGCGACCGGCCACAUUGGGACUGAGAUACGGCCCAAACUCCUACGGGAGGCAGCAGUGGGGAAUAUUGCACGAUGGACGGAAGUCUGAUGCAGCAACGCCGCGUGCGGGAUGACGGCCUUCGGGUUGUAAACCGCUUUCAAUUGUGACGAAGCUUUUUUGUGACGGUAGCAGUAGAAGAAGCACCGGCUAACUACGUG